UCCCAAGUAGCUCAGAUGGUUAAGAAUCUGCCUGCAAUGCAGGAGACCCAAGUUCGAUCCUUGGGUUGGGAA
rnacentral:tRNA from 1 species